CCUACGGGGGACUGCAGUGAGGAAUAUUGGUCAAUGGACGCAAGCCUGAACCAGCCAUGCCGCGUGCAGGAAGACGGCUCUAUGAGUUGUAAACUGCUUUUGUACGAGGGUAAACGCAGAUACGCGUAUCUGUCUGAAAGUAUCGUACGAAUAAGGAUCGGCUAACUCCGUGCCAGCAGCCGCGGUAAUACGGAGGAUUCAAGCGUUAUCCGGAUUUAUUGGGUUUAAAGGGUGCGUAGGCUGUCGGAUAAGUUAGAGGUGAAAUCCCGAGGCUCAACUUCGGAAUUGCCUUUGAUACUGGUCGGCUAGAGAGGAGUUGCGGUAGGCGGAAUGUAUGGUGUAGCGGUGAAAUGCUUAGAGAUCAUACAGAACACCGAUUGCGAAGGCAGCUUACCAAGCUACUUCUGACGUUGAGGCACGAAAGCGUGGGGAGCAAACAGGAUUAGAUACCCCAGUAGUC
rnacentral:rRNA from 1 species